rnacentral:rRNA from 1 species
GAUGAACGCUGGCGGCGUGCCUAAUACAUGCAAGUCGAGCGAACAGGCGAGGAGCUUGCUCCUCUGACGUUAGCGGCGGACGGGUGAGUAACACGUGGAUAACCUACCUAUAAGACUGGGGUAACUUCGGGAAACCGGAGCUAAUACCGGAUAAUAUAUUGAACCGCAUGGUUCAAUAGUGAAAGGCGGUUUUGCUGUCACUUAUAGAUGGAUCCGCGCCGCAUUAGCUAGUUGGUAAGGUAACGGCUUACCAAGGCAACGAUGCGUAGCCGACCUGAGAGGGUGGUCGGCCACCCUGGAACUGAGACACGGUCCAGACUCCUACGGGAGGCAGCAGUAGGGAAUCUUCCGCAAUGGGCGAGAGCCUGACGGAGCAACGCCGCGUGAGUGCUGAAGGUCUUCGGAUCGUAAAACUCUGUUAUUAGGGAAGAACAAAUGUGUAAGUAACUAUGCACGUCUUGACGGUACCUGGUCAGAAAGCCACGGCUAACUACGUG